rnacentral:rRNA from 1 species
ACGCUGGCGGCACGCCUAACACAUGCAAGUCGAACGAAGUAGCAAUACUUAGUGGCAGACGGGUGAGUAACAUGUAGGUAUCUGCCCUUUGGCCUGGAAUAACACGAGGAAACUUGUGCUAAUACCGGAUAAGUCUUUACAGAGAAAGCUUUAUGCACCAUUGGAUGAGCCUGCACUUGAUUAGUUUGUUGGUGGGGUAAUGGCCUACCAAGACUGUGAUCAAUAGCUGAUUUGAGAGGAUGAUCAGCCACAUUGGGACUGAGACACGGCCCAAACUCCUACGGGAGGCAGCAGUGGGGAAUCUUGCACAAUGGAGGAAACUCUGAUGCAGCGAUGCCGCGUGAGUGAAGAAGGCCCUUGGGUUGUAAAGCUCUUUCGUCGGGGAAGAAAAUGACUGUACCCGAAUAAGAAGGUCCGGCUAACUUCGUGCCAGCAGCCGCGGUAAUACGAAGGGACCUAGCGUAGUUCGGAAUUACUGGGCUUAAAGAGUUCGUAGGUGGUUGAAAAAGUUAGUGGUGAAAUCCCAGAGCUUAACUCUGGAACUGCCAUUAAAACUUUUCAGCUAGAGUAUGAUAGAGGAAAGCAGAAUUUCUAGUGUAGAGGUGAAAUUCGUAGAUAUUAGAAAGAAUACCAAUUGCGAAGGCAGCUUUCUGGAUCAUUACUGACACUGAGGAACGAAAGCAUGGGUAGCGAAGGGGAUUAGAUACCCUCGUAGUCCAUGCCGUAAACGAUGUGUGUUAGACGUUGGAAAUUUAUUUUCAGUGUCGCAGGGAAACCGAUAAACACACCGCCUGGGGAGUACGACCGCAAGGUUAAAACUCAAAUGAAUUGACGGGGACCCGCACAAGUAGUGGAGCAUGUGGUUUAAUUCGAAGAUACGCGCAGAACCUUACCAACACUUGACAUGUUCGUCGCGACUCUAAGAGAUUAGAGUUUUCGGUUCGGCCGGACGAAACACAGGUGCUGCAUGGCUGUCGUCAGCUCGUGUCGUGAGAUGUUGGGUUAAGUCCCGCAACGAGCGCAACCCUCACUUUUAGUUGCCAUCAUUAAGUUGGGCACUCUGAAAGAACUGCCAGUGAUAAGCUGGAGGAAGGUGGGGAUGACGUCAAGUCCUCAUGGCCCUUACGUGUUGGGCUACACACGUGCUACAAUGGUAUCUACAACAGGAAGCAAGACUGCGAAGUUAAGCAAAUCCCUAAAAGAUACCUCAGUUCGGAUUGCACUCUGCAACUCGAGUGCAUGAAGCUGGAAUUACUAGUAAUCGUGGAUCAGCGUGCCACGGUGAAUGCGUUCCCGGGUCUUGUAUACACCGCCCGUCACACCAUGGGAGUUGGUUCUACCUUAAGGCAAGGUUUCAAACCCUUGACCACGGUAUAGUCAGCGACUGGG